ACCUGAUCCAGCCAUGCCGCGUGAGUGAAGAAGGCCUUCGGGUUGUAAAGCUCUUUCGGCGGGGAAGAAAUUGCACGGGUUAAUACCCUGUGUAGAUGACGGUACCCGAAUAAGAAGCACCGGCUAACUACGUGCCAGCAGCCGCGGUAAUACGUAGGGUGCGAGCGUUAAUCGGAAUUACUGGGCGUAAAGCGUGCGCAGGCGGUUUGGUAAGUCAGAUGUGAAAUCCCCGGGCUCAACCUGGGAACUGCAUUUGAGACUGCCAGGCUGGAGUUUGGCAGAGGGGGGUGGAAUUCCACGUGUAGCAGUGAAAUGCGUAGAGAUGUGGAGGAACACCGAUGGCGAAGGCAGCCCCCUGGGCCAAUACUGACGCUCAUGCACGAAAGCGUGGGGAGCAAACAGGAUUAGAUACCCUGGUAGUCCACGCCCUAAACGAUGUCAACUAGGUGUUGGGAGGGUUAAACCUUUUAGUGCCGUAGCUAACGCGUGAAGUUGACCGCCUGGGGAGUACGGCCGCAAGGCUAAAACUCAAAGGAAUUGACGG
rnacentral:rRNA from 1 species